GAUGAACGCUGGCGGCGUGCCUAAUACAUGCAAGUCGAGCGAACGGACGAUGAGCUUGCUUUUCUGAUGUUAGCGGCGGACGUGUGAGUAACACGUGUAUAACCUACCUAUAAGACUGGGAUCACUUCGGGAAACCGGAUCUAAUACCGUAUAAUAUUUUGCACCGCAUGGUUCAAAGGUGAAAUACGGUCUUUCUGGCACUUAUAGAUGCAUCCCCGCUGCAUUAGCUAGUUGUUAAGGUAACGGCUUACCAAGGCGACGAUGCGUAGACGACGUGCGAGGGUGAUAGGCGACACUGGAGGUGAGCCACGGACAAGACUCCUACGGGAGGCAGCAGUAGGGAAUCGUACGCAAUGGGGGAAAGCAUGACGGAGCGAGGCGGAGCGAGUGAUGAAGGUGUCCGGAUCGUAAAACUCUGUUAUGAGGGAAGAACAGAUGUGUACGGAAAUGUGCAGAUCGUGACGGUACCUAGUAAGAAAGCAACGGCUAACUACGUG
rnacentral:rRNA from 1 species